rnacentral:rRNA from 1 species
GGCGGACGGGUGAGUAAUGUCUGGGAAACUGCCUGAUGGAGGGGGAUAACUACUGGAAACGGUAGCUAAUACCGCAUAACGUCGCAAGACCAAAGAGGGGGACCUUCGGGCCUCUUGCCAUCAGAUGUGCCCCGAUGGGAUUAGCUAGUAGGUGGGGUAAUGGCUCACCUAGGCGACGAUCCCUAGCUGGUCUGAGAGGAUGACCAGCCACACUGGAACUGAGACACGGUCCAGACUCCUACGGGAGGCAGCAGUGGGGAAUAUUGCACAAUGGGCGCAAAGCCUGAUGCAGCCAUGCCGCGUGUAUGAAGAAGGCCUUCGGGUUGUAAAGUACUUUCAGCGAGGAGGAAGGCAUUGUGGUUAAUAACCACAGGUGAUUGACGUUACUCGCAGAAAAA